rnacentral:lncRNA from 1 species
AUGGAGGAGAAUGUCUUUUCUCUGAGAAGCAUUAGUGCUACCUGGCUGAGCACCACACCCACUCCCUGGGUGAUUGAGAUCUUCCUCAGCUUUCUGUGUGGACUGGGACUCUUUUUCUUGUUACUCCCCUGCUUCUCGAGUAAUCUGUCCUCACCACCACCCAGGAAGCACAGAAACAUCAGGAAGCAUCAUACAGAGCUGAGGGGAAGGAGCAGCAGGACUAGGAAGAAAAGUGGAGCUUUGAGAGCUUGUAGAGACUGCCUGAAAGAACUGGAGGAGGCUCGGGACCUGGCUUCACUUCUGCAUAGGCUUGCUCACCAUCACCUGCUGAACUCUAGAAAGGAUGACAACAACAGGCGGGAAAGCCAGGACCAGGGAACUCGGGAUGUGGCUCCCAGUCUAGUGACCUUUGCAAAACACGUGGCCCAAGGACUGCUCCCAGGGGAGAGACCUGAACUUGAGAUGGUUGACUUGUGUGUACUUGGGAAACAUGCUAAAGACCUGCAACAAGUGGGCUCGAGGAACGAUGUAACGAAGUAAACGAGGAGAGAGACACCUGGAUUCACACUCACCUCUCAGAGGGUUGUGUAACCAGCAUGUUAUUUUGCAUGUAACAGCUUGCAUCAGGUUUGUGGGGUUUGUUUUAUUUUGUUUAACAUGGUAACAAUCAUGUGAGGAUUUUUCACAAAUAAGUCAAAUUCCUGGCAAUAUUUCCUAUUAUAUCAUCUGGCAAAAUUGUACUUCUUAAUAUUAUUUUAUUCCUUAAAAUAUAGUAAUGCCCUCAAAUGAUAUUACAUAUGUUUCCAAGAUAUGACACAGUCCUAAUGUUCAGCUGACAGCAGCUCCAUCUGCUCUCCGUGAUUUCACAGUCUCCCCCAUUUCUUUCCCAUGCCCACUUCAGCACGGCCGUCUCAGCACAGGUGUCGCUCUUGAACUUCAGGAGGAAGAUCACCGCCCUUUUUAUCUCCACCACAAUUUUAUACCAGUAACCUUACAUACCUAUCUACAGUGUCAAGAAAUUGACUUCGUAGAAUGUGGCCCCUGGUUUCCACCUAUAGGUCUGUAACUUGGGCAAGUCAUUUGUUGCCAAGAUUUACCAAUUUUAUAAAAUUGCACUUACUUCAUAAAAUUUUAUUUUAUAAAACGUUAUUUUCUUAUUUCAUAAAAUUGGUAAAUCUAGGGAUUUAGG